GACACCACCAGUUCAGCCUGUGUUGGCUCCGCAUACCGAGCCUUUCACGGCCUUGCAGGAGGGACAGGUGUAGCCUUUUCAGAGGUGGUAAAAUCAGCACCACAGCCCAGCCUGGCUGCCACCCCCAACCCAGGAGCUUCCCAGGUUUAUGCAGCCCUUCUCCCUCGAUAUGCUGAACUGGAACAGAGAAUCUUGUCCAAAGCUCGGGGGCCUCUGGAAUGAAUUCUUCGGGCCCAGGCACCAGAAAAGAAGGGAGGAGAAUAAAGACAAGAUCCCUGUUGAUACUUAGAACUUCCCAAAAUAAACAAAAUUUUGAAAACACCUAAAA
rnacentral:lncRNA from 1 species